UACGUAGGGUGCGAGCGUUAAUCGGAAUUACUGGGCGUAAAGCGUGCGCAGGCGGUUCGUUCAGUCAGAUGUGAAAGCCCCGGGCUCAACCUGGGAACUGCAUUUGAAACUGGCGGGCUUGAGUAUGGCAGAGGGGGGUGGAAUUCCGCGUGUAGCAGUGAAAUGCGUAGAGAUGCGGAGGAACACCGAUGGCGAAGGCAGCCCCCUGGGCCAAUACUGACGCUCAGGCACGAAAGCGUGGGGAGCAAACAGG
rnacentral:rRNA from 1 species